rnacentral:lncRNA from 1 species
UUGAUCAAUAGGGAUCGUUAUCACAGAAAUGUCAAUAUGAAGUGUAAAGGGGAGGACAGGUGAGGUUUACCCGUGGAAAGAAAAGCCUACGGAAAAGACCACGGUAACCUCGGUCAAUGAAGUCACAUGUUAUAUUUCUUUUUUUUUUUUUUUUGCAAAUAAGCAACUCUCUGUAUUAAUUUUUACGGUUCAUAGAAUCAUAGUCAAGGUGGCUUCGUCAUUCAUACGUGCCAUCCUUGCUACAUUCACCCAUCUUUUUUUAAAACAUUCACUAGACAAAACUUGCCUCUCUACUCUCACUUUUUUCUUCAAGUGAUACUUGAAGAAGUUGAUGAGAGAUUGACCAGAGAGGAAAGUGUUUGUCUCUAAUCCUUUCAGACGCGUCCACCAGAUACAUUCUUUCGCCAUAGCCAUAAGUAUGAUAAAAAUAGCUCUUCCUUCCCGUUUGAAGGAAGGAGGCGUGACGAUAUUAACGAUAGACUCGGCUGAUAAACCGACACGUCCCACACGUGACAGCAGUCGUUCGACAUAAGCCCACAGGUGGGAAAUUGCUGGACACUGCACGAUUGCGUGCAGAGCGGUUUCGUCGCUCUGCCCGCAUCUCGGGCAGGUCGGCCCCGUGUUUCUCGAGCCAUGCCUAUAGAGCUUAUCCCGAACGGGUAGCGCUUCUCGGUAGCACCGCCAGGCCAGGGAUCUCUGGAAGUUGUCCAUAGGUCCCGGGCCGAAAGUCGUUUGAAACAGGCGGGUCAGGUAUUCCUCGUCGACGCCCAUGUUUGCCCCGAGCUCGUCGUCGUACCUCCCCUCCACUAAUCCCCUAUAGAAUGCUUUGGUUGUGUUGAAGUCACUCAAGGUCGACCCGGGACGGCAGAGUUGCUUGAGAGCAACGCGACACUCGCGGUGCCAUUCGCCCUUCUUCGGCCUCUUUUUGAUCCACGACUGUAGUUCGGUCAUGGAGACGAGUUGCGGGAAUGCGUGCCUCACAAACGGCGACCACACCUGUUCACCGUCGUCUACAUAGAGCCGGAGAUGUCGCAGUCUCAGCGCGUGUCUGCGCAUCAUCAACCACGGCAUGCCCAGCCCUCCUUUUAACGGGUGUUGACAGCAAAUGGAUCGCCUGACCAUCGGGACGCAUCCUUUCCAUAAGAAGCGGAAGAGGAUGCGUUCUAGUUUGGUGAUGGUAGGGUCGGGACAAGGUACGACGGUCAGGCGGUAGUAGAUGAUGGACGCGAUGUACGCGUUCACCACCUCCGCCCGACCUUUUAGGGACAGUUUCCUCUCGGCCCAUUGCUGGGCGAGAGUGACCACCCUACUCGUUAUCUCGUUCCAGUUCUUCUCCAUUUGGAGGUCCGGACCGAACCAGACCCCGAGCAACUCAACCGGGCCGUCUGUCCAGCGUCCCACGACGGAGGUACUGGUGGACGGCAUGGGCUUGCUUCUCCAGGUGCCGAGCCGCAAGCCCACUGACUUUUCCCGGUUGAUUUUUGCUCCUGUCACUGCUUCGUAGUCUUUCAGUGUCUCGCCGACCCGCUCGAUGUGCUCGUGGCUUGACACUAUGACGGUGACGUCGUCCGCGUAUGCAGACACGCUCGUCCCGCAUCCUAAUUCUCGCGGGAUGCCCCUCAGAGUCGCCAGCUUCCGCAGUAGUGGCUCAAGAGUCAAUACGUAUAGAAGCGCCGAGAGGGGGCAUCCCUGACGGACCGAACGUGCAAUGUCGAAGGGUCUCGAUAGAUGUCCAUUUACGCGAAUUACCGAACGGAUGCCCCUGUACAAGGCAGCUAUCCAGCCGCGGAAGACGGGACCGAAACCAGCCGCUCUCAGGACUGCCUCCAAGUAUCGAUGGUCUACCCUAUCAAAGGCUUUCGAUUGAUCCAAGUUGAUCAGGGCCCCACCCAUGCCAGGUUCGUUAACUACCCUGUCUAUGAUGUAGCGCAUCAGAUGGAGGUUGUCAUGGAUGCUCCGGCCCGGCACGGCGCACGUUUGUGCGUUGUCGACCAGUUUCUCCAUGACAAGCGCCAACCUCUUGGCUAACACCUUUGUCAAAAUUUUCAGGUCUGCAUUGAGCAGAGUGAUUGGCCUAAAGUUAUCUAUAAUGUUUCCCUUGUUUGGAUCUUUCUUCAGCAGAGUUACAGCUCCUCGACUCACAAAACCGGGUAUGCUCCCGUUUUGCUGCCAGUUGCAGUAUACCGCUGCCAAGACGUCUCCAAACAAGUCUGGCAUACAAUAGUAAAAUUCGUAGGGUAGACCAUCCAAACCCGGUGAUUUGUCCCUCGAGCAUUCUGCCAUCGCUUCCCGCACUUCCGCCGCCGUGAUGGCACCUUCGCAGCACCCUGCCUUUCUUGUCGAGAGUCGUGGCAGGCUAUGUAGGUAGGCACUGAAGUCUACCCUACGUUCUUGCCCUCCACUCGUCCCGAACAGUCGGGCAAAAUGCUGCUGAAAGGCCUCACACAUUUUACUUGGCUCGAGCAAUUCGCGCCCCUGUUCAUCUACCAGUGACCGAAUGGUGGCUUUGUUGCCCUGUUGCGCCUCUGCCACCCGGGCCUCUCUCGCGGCUCCAACACCUUCGUUCCUUAGAGCACGCAUCCUAGCUCUGACAGCACAUCCUUCGUGUUUGGCGUUGAAGUGUUGGUCGAGGGCCAACCUCGCCGCCAAAACGUCGGAUGCGAUGCCGCUUCUAAUUGCCUCUUCUAGCUUCUUAACUAGCUCACCCUCUACUCUAUUUCUAUCUAUGGCUAGUGCUUUGCUGUACCUAAUCGCUUCUGCUUUUACUGCUCUCUUGAGGGCAAACCACCAUUUGUUGUUGAUGAUGGCUCCCGUCAAAGCCCUCUUUACUAGUGUGCUAAUCCGGUCUCUGAAAACUUGUCUGGACGGGAAUGAUGCGUUCAGUUUCCAGUACCCAGGACCCUGUCUAUGUGCCUUAUCUAAGUCUAGCGUACACGUCACCAAUUUGUGAUCCGUGUAGCUGACUGUGUGGAAUUGUGGACAUCCUAAGUUAUCCUUGUCUACUGUCCUACACAGUAUCCUAUCUAGAUACGAUCUUUACGACCCACUGCGGUUGCUCCAUGUCCACGUUGGUGCAUUUGGGCUGUCGAGUCGGUACCUGUCAGACAGUUGGAAUCGUCUGAGCAGGUCUCUGAGGCAUUUGCAUCCCCUUCUGUUUCUGUCUCUACCCACGUAGUCUACAUGCGUGUCCAAGGUAGCAUUCCAAUCCCCCACUAAGAGUAAAGGACGAGACGUUCCCAAGAAUACUUCUAGACGUCGAAAGAAAUCCGCCCGACCUGUUAAGGGCGGUGCGUAGACUGAUACGAGUCGAAAAGCGCACCCAUUGCUGCCGUCAACAUCCAGAACGAUCAGUCUACCCUCCGGGUCUACGAAUAUCGUCUUGACUUCGAGAUCCAGGCUCUUGUGAAAAAGUACCGCGGUGCCACUACCGCCCAUCCUCGGCAGACAGGGAGCGAAAUAAAUGUUAAACUGUCCGCCAAACAUGGACUUUAGGGCCCGUGGCUCGUGGAGUCUGGUCUCACUUAUGGCUAUGAUUCCCAAAUCAUGUGACUUGAUGUCAUUUAGGAGGUAUCCUUGUUUCCAAGGAGACCCCAAGCCACGCGCAUUCACACAACCAAUAGAUAGAUAGAUAGAUAGAUAGAUAGAUAGAUAGAUAGAUAGAUAGAUAGAUAGAUAGAUAGAUAGAUAGAUAGAUAGAUAGAUAGAUAAAUGUAUGCAUUUAUUCCUUUCAUGUUUCUUUGUAGAGUCGAAAAUGAGAAAGGCUUUUCGUGAUAAUUUCUUUUAUGCGAUGUGUAUAACCAUCACACUUACGUUAAGGGACGUUUCAGAACUAUUUAUUGCCUCCUCAGUAUUAGACACCUCUCAAAAACAACGGUUCUGAACGGGUGUUGGAGAUUCUUCUGAAAAAUCUGUAAACGAAAUAUUUGUUGGUGCGUAUGUCGGAUACACAGGAAAUAUUUGCCGAAAUACGAACGUUGAAAUCUCACGCGGAGAAGAGCAGGCGUUUACCUGGAUGAAGAAUGUGUUUGAAGUACUGAUAGACAAGGGCCUGCUCUCCAAUCUUUGCAAUAGCAUUCUUAGACACAAGUGGCCACGGAGAACGAAGAACAGCGAUUGGUUAUGACACAGAGAGCCACGGAAAAGAUCUAUGCCAGAAGUAUUAUAAUGAAUGCUUAUCCAAAGUAAUUCGAAAACGAUUAGAGUGAAAAUUGUGAUUGUAGAAUACCUACAACACAAAUACCCCUAUGGGCAGGAUAUGUGGGAAGGCUCGCAUACAACGUGUGGAUCUGUGCAGUUGUCGAGUAAUAUCCAAGGGAUCGGAAGAGGCCACUUGGAUUGACUCUAGAUGAUAUGAAGAUGACAUAGCAAAAAAGAUUCGGGUACAGAUGGAUAAGAAAGGCGCAGUCAAGGGGAUAAUGGAGGCGCAUUGUGGCCAACGAUGUUGAACGAUAUCUGAUUGAUAUAACCAUAUUCGCUUGGCUACUUUUGCGUCUACACUUCUCUACAUUUUUUUAAUGACAGAAGUCUUAAUUAAUGCGGUUAAUUAGAGAUGUGGUUGUUGUUAUUGUUGUUGUUAGAGGUGUUGGUGGUGUUGGUAUCACUCUUCAGUCCAAUAUCAAUUCAUUCGCACAGGCAUAGCCGAGAUGCUCUUGAUCUUCAGACAUGACGUAUCUCAGACUAUAUCAUUGAAACAACCUUUAAUUCAGAUCAGUAUUUAGGGAUAAGGUUGUUGUCCUUGCCCCAUGUUAGCGUGUUUGUGUCAAGAUUUAUGUUUGUGUUUAGGGUCUAGAAGCCAUUUUGCUUCUCGUUUCGCGGUUCAAUAAAUUGCUAAUAUGGAAUAAAUCCCAAAACAGAAACGAAAACUGAUAAUAACAUGAUUUUUAAGAUGGUGUCCCAUACAUCGCCGCGAUCCAAAGACCGACACAAGUAAAAGAAUAAAUAUUGCGCGUGCGUGCGUGUGUGAAUGAAUGCGCAUGCGUGCAUGUGUGAAAGUACGUGUCAUCGAUCAAGUUUGUCUGAUGAUUGUUGUUUGUUGUCUGUCAAUAAAUUGUUUGUCCCUACCAAUACCCUGUACGUGAGAUUCCACCUCUAUUGUCAACGGAAUAUCAGCAAUAUUUUAAUCAAUAUUACUUCCCUGCGUUGGCUGAUCAGCUGGCAGAAAUUCGAGUGUCGGCUUCAAGGAGGCGCUUAGUUUCGUCUUUAAAUAAACCGAGUUCAAUUCUGCCCCAGCCGAUUUAUUAUUUUUUUUUCAUCCGUUUCGUAUCGAUAAAUAUAAUACCAAUAGCAUCGUGGCUCUCCGUCGUUUACGACGACGAGGUUUCCAGUUGAUCUGAUCGACGGAACAGUCUGCCUGUGAAAUUAACGUGCCACUGGCUGAGAACUCCGCAGACACGUACACCUUUAACGUAGUUCUCGGGGAGAUUCAGCGUGACACAGAGUGUGACAAGGUUGGCCCCUUUGAAAUACAGGUACAGCAGAAACAGGAAGAAAGAGUGAGAGAAAGUUGUGGUGAAAAAGUACAGCAGGGUUCGCCACCAGCCCUUGCUAGAGCUUCAUGGAGCUUUAGGUGUUUUUACACUCAAUAAACACUCACAACGCCCGGUCUGGGAAUCGUAACUACGAUCCUACGACCGCGAGUCUGCUGCCCUAACCGCUGGGCCAUUGCGCUUCCACACCAAUAAUAUAUAUAUAUGUUGGAAUCGAUUCCAGUCGGGCAAUUUUUAUGUGAUGGCUUGACUUGCUAGAUAUAAUAGCAAAAUUUAAAUCACACCACACCCUAAUAUGUAUAUUACUCAGAAUAAUGUAUUCAGGGUAAUGUUAUGUCAAUUCUUUUCAUCAUAGGUUUACUCGAUCAAAGAUGACCACGGGUUAAACAAUAACAACUGGCUAUGCCAACAGGAAUUAGGGUCAUUUGUCAAGCAUUAAAUACCAGACAGGGGAUGUGGCAUAAAUUUAUAGGAGGAGAAAUAGGUGUAAGUAAGACAUGGAUUCACUCACAGAUAUCCAAUGACUAUGGUCACUACGAGUAGAUUCUGGGAACAUUAGCCAUGAGGAAAGUAGCCUUAACAAUAAGCAGCUGGUAUAUCAAAGGCCUCAUGGCAAACAAAAGAGAGAAUUAUAAAUGCUAACUCACAGUUAGAAGAGGGACUUUUCAAGAUAACAUCCUCUUCCUACUCGUUUUACUGUCUCACGCUCUAAUACCAGUAAUUUGUGUGUUCAAGUAGACUGGAAUCGGUUACAAACGUUAUGAAAGGAUAAUCAAUAGUCAUUUGUCGAAGUACGAAAUGAGAAUGACAAUACGCGGAUUUACUGGAGGAAAUGAUGUGAGAUUCGGAUUAGGAAACUGCGUCAAGGCAACCUGAAAGAGAGAAAAAUUAAUUAGGAUUACUAAUAUCAUAUAAUGAUGGCAUACAGAUAAAAGGAUUAGACCAAAUACAGGUUUACAAAUAAUUAGGAAUCGAGAACUAGACGGAAUAUAACACGCAAGUCAGGAGGGAAUAUUAAAGAUGCAUUAUGUUAACCCUUUAACUGCGAAAUUAAAUUUCAUGAUUAUUCCGGCAAGGAUGAUAAAUAUCCAACAAAAAUAGAAUUGGCAUUUUCUGCUGGCCCCGUUGCCUCAAUAAACUUGACAGAUCUCCUCAAAAGGUAGCUUCAAACAUGAUAUUCCUCAACAAAAAAUAGAUUGCUAUGAAUUCCAACCACGUUUCGUGGUUCGCUACCUCAACAUCUCCUUUAUAGGAUCCAGUGGCCAAAGACAUCAUCAGGAGGAACCACGUCUGUUUUCGGCCCCUACUCCUCUACCGUUUUCGACAUGGUGCCCCUCCCCUGCUUUCGGAGGUCUCUUCAGCUCUGGUGUUGAGUGGGUUUUUCCUUUCUCCUUUUUUUUUUUUUUUGACAUUUUGUUCUUUGGUUUCUCUGAUGCAGCAUCAACAAAUGGCAGAGAGCGAAUGAGCAUCCUGCCAAAUUUCCUUUUAAAUACUCACCGGUAGGCUCCAGCAGUCAGCACCAGCUAACUGUCACGUGACACUAUCUAAGCUUCAACUGACCAAUGGAGGAGAAGGACACGUAGUUUAGGCCCGCGCCCUCUCUAAACCUACCUUCCAACAGCGUCGUGUUAGUUUCAGUUCCAGCAACCAGAGCCGACCAGCUGUCUUGUGGUACAAACCUUCGAACUAGCGGGGAGGAGAGCGCGCAAUGAACGAGAUCGCUCCCUUGGCUCAGCCAGUCUCGCCUAACGACGCUAUUUCCCAGUCGGCAUGAUAUGGCUUUCGAGCCAUUUCGGGUCUUCUCGUUUCAGCCAUAUAUGGAAGCUGGCUUUUUCGACUGCCUCCUGUAUCCUCCUUAUUACUUUCCUCAGUUCUGAGUUCGAAAAUGCAAACCUUCUUUUAAAUAACAUCACCAUUUUCAUUCCAAGAAAGCCUGUAGCCGCCAUUACGACAGUUCCCCUUACUCUCCAAUUAAUCUCUCAUACCUCUUCUCCUUCCGUUGCUCUGCAUCAGCGACGUUCUUUUCCCAUUACACCAAUUUUUCUUUCUGUGUUCCAUAGGAUUAAGUCCGGUCUUUUUCUUGUUUUUAUGAGUGGAAAUAUUAACAGUCUUUCCAAAUCCGUGGCCAGCUCCCUGCAUCCCUUCCAUCUUUCGUCUGCCUCCUAUACUUUUUUUUGAAGGCCUGGUCUUAUGUCCUUUUCCAUCCUUCUGGAAGUAUAUCCUUCCGCGCUUUUCCACUUUUAGGAACUCUCCCCUAUUAUAUCCCUCGAUCUUCUCCUUGAGUGCUGCGCUUAUGACACCGAAGACUUGAUUGUGACGCCAUGUAUAUCUCUGUCUAGUUCUAGCCUGUUGUUUGACAGAACAUGUCUCAAUGUCGCUUUCUCUCCGCACCUACAUUCAUUAGUCGGACUAAAUUGGCCGGUGAAGGCAAAACGUCGAAGGUAGACUUCAUCAGGAAGGAUGUUCUUGCUUUCCGCAGUUAAGAGCAGUGAAAUUUUGAGUGGAUGUAUCUGAUUUCCGCUGUAAAAGGGUUAAUAUUUAAAAAGGUGUUACAUGAAAAAAAAAAAACAACAAUAAAAAAAGUAAGACUUAAUUAUAAUAUUCUCAACGGGAUGUUAAAGUAACAAGGAAGACUUGAUAGAACAAAAAAAAUUUAAUAAAUAAAAAUAAGAUUGAUGACUUUAUAACCAUAUCACUUUGAAAACACCGCUUCUCGUCCGAUCACCGAAGUUAAGCAAAGUCGAGCCUAGUUAGUACUUAGAUGGGUGACCGCUUGGGAAACCUAGGUGCUGUAAACGUCUUUCUAUCCUUAGGCGCAGGAGCGGCUGUGUGGUAAGUAGCUUGCUUACCAACCCCAUUGUUCUUGGUUCAGUCCCACUGCGUGACACCUCGGGCCGACAAAAGCCUUGUGAGUGGAUUUGGUAGACGGAAACUGAAAGAAGCUCAUCAUACAUAUGUAUGUAUAUAUUUGUAUGUGUGUAUGUAUAUGUUUGUGUGUCUGUGUUUGUCCCCCCUCCAACAUUGCUUGACAACCGAUACUGGUCUGUUUACGUCCCCGUAACUUAGCAGUUCGCCAAAAGAGUCCAAUAGAAUAAGUACUAGGCUCGCAAAGAUUUGCUCGACUAGAGGCGGUGCUCCAGCAUGGCCGCAGUCAAAUGACUGAAACAAGUAAAAGAGUAAAGAGAGAGACUGCAUUUUGGAAUACAGCAGUCAAAAUUUAAAAUACAAGUCGAUUAUAUCGACCCCAGUGCGUAACUGGUACUUAAUUUAUCGACCCAGAAUGGAUGAAAGGCAAAGUCGACCUCGGCGGAAUUUGAACUCAGAACGUAGCAAGCAUUUCGCCCGACGUGCUAACGUUUCUGCCAGCUCGCCGCCUAACAACAACAACAUCAACAAUAAUAAUAAUGGCAACACAUGUAAUACAUGUUUAAAAUUUUAAUUUUAAUCUUUAUUUCUUAUUUUCUAAUUUCUUUCAGUGACCCUUGUGUUGGUUACAACCCUUAUUUGCAUAUUUGGAAAGAUUUCUGCAGCAUCAACAACAGCAGCAGCAAAAACAGCAUCAACAACAGCAGCAACAAAAGCAGCAGCAACAACAGCAACAACAGCAGCAGCAAAAACAACAGCAGCAACAAAUGCAGCAGCAGCAGCAAAAGCAGCAGCAAAAGCAGCAGUAACAACAACAGCAGCAGCAACAAAAGCAGCAGCAACAGCAACAGCAGCAACAGCAGCAGCAGCAGCAGCAGCAAAAGCAGCAGUAACAACAACAGCAGCAGCAGCAACAACAGCAGCAGCAACAGCAACAGCGGCAACAGCAGCAGCAGCAACAAAAGCAGCAGCAACAACAGCAGCAGCAGCAACAACAACAGCAGCAGCAACAACAGCAGCAGCAGCAGCAAGAAAUGCAGCCGGACUACUAGGACUAAAUGCAACAGCAACAACAGCAGCAGCAGCAACAACAAGUAAAGAAACAACGACAGGUGGCAAUCAGAUUUCUUCGACCGGAAGUACAAAGAUCUCGGCAACAGGCGGGAAAAAAACCUUGACGAGUACCGUUUCAGAUUCAACAUCCGCAAAAAGCAGCGGAAGUAGUGAUGCGUAUUCGACAGGAAGUACAAAGAUCUCAGCAAGCGGGAAAUCGACGUUGAUAAGCACUCUUUUGGAUUCAACAGCCGUGACACGAGGAGAAACAACAGGGGCAAGUGGCGUCACCUAUGCAACAGGAAAUGCAAAGACAUCAGCGACGAGUGAAAAGUCAAUUUUGAUGGAUCACAGUUCAGCCUCUACAACAAACAAUAAACAGACUUCAGCUGCCUCUGACAUUUCGCUCUCAAUGACAACAAUUAAUCAACAGUCAUCAUCAAAUAGUUUAUCUACAAAUGUAAACGCCAGAGCAGAAUCAACCACACACUUAUCAAAUACAUCAGACACAACAAAAUCUGCCGGAAUCACAGACGUAAUAUCUGGUACCGUUACUGCAAGAAGUUCACCGAUUUCAGAAUCAAGUUUCAGUUCAAACAACGGAAGCUCAACUGCGAGUCCCCUCUUCACGUCAACCAACAACGAAAACAGCUCAUAUUUUACCCAAGACCAGAACACCGAAGAAACGACGGUAAGCAACAGCAGUGAAGUUUCAACGGAAACAGUGACCAUGUUUUCGACUGACUUUCAAUCAGUGUCAAACGAACAAACAGACUACGACGUCUCAACCAGUGCUCAGAUAGGUAAAACAGGAAUGACCAAGGAUUUCACUCAAGG